GGUUAAGCGACUAAGCGUACACGGUGGAUGCCCUGGCAGUCAGAGGCGAUGAAGGACGUGCUAAUCUGCGAUAAGCGCCGGUAAGGUGAUAUGAACCGUUAUAACCGGCGAUUUCCGAAUGGGGAAACCCAGUGUGACUCGUCACACUAUCAUUAACUGAAUCCAUAGGUUAAUGAGGCGAACCGGGGGAACUGAAACAUCUAAGUACCCCGAGGAAAAGAAAUCAACCGAGAUUCCCCCAGUAGCGGCGAGCGAACGGGGAGGAGCCCAGAGCCUGAAUCAGCAUGUGUGUUAGUGGAAGCGUCUGGAAAGGCGCGCGAUACAGGGUGACAGCCCCGUACACAAAAGCGCAUAUGCUGUGAGCUCGAUGAGUAGGGCGGGACACGUGGUAUCCUGUCUGAAUAUGGGGGGACCAUCCUCCAAGGCUAAAUACUCCUGACUGACCGAUAGUGAACCAGUACCGUGAGGGAAAGGCGAAAAGAACCCCGGCGAGGGGAGUGAAAAAGAACCUGAAACCGUGUACGUACAAGCAGUGGGAGCACAGGUUUACCUGUGUGACUGCGUACCUUUUGUAUAAUGGGUCAGCGACUUAUAUUCUGUAGCAAGGUUAACCGAAUAGGGGAGCCGGAGGGAAACCGAGUCUUAAUUGGGCGUUAAGUUGCAGGGUAUAGACCCGAAACCCGGUGAUCUAGCCAUGGGCAGGUUGAAGGUUGGGUAACACUAACUGGAGGA
rnacentral:rRNA from 1 species